rnacentral:rRNA from 1 species
GUGUCAGCAGCCGCGGUAAUACGUAGGGGGCAAGCGUUAUCCGGAUUUACUGGGUGUAAAGGGAGCGUAGACGGCUGUGCAAGUCUGAAGUGAAAGCCCGGGGCUCAACCCCGGGACUGCUUUGGAAACUGUGCAGCUCGAGUACCGGAGGGGUAAGCGGAAUUCCUAGUGUAGCGGUGAAAUGCGUAGGUAUUAGGAGGAACACCAGUGGCGAAGGCGGCUUACUGGACGGUAACUGACGUUGAGGCUCGAAAGCGUGGGUAGCAAACAGGAUUAGAUACCCUGGUAGUCCACGCCGUAAACGAUGAAUGCUAGGUGUCGGGAAGCAAAGCUUCCCGGUGCCGCCGCAAACGCAUUAAGCAUUCCACCUGGGGAGUACGUUCGCAAGAAUGAA